UCCCCGUUUAAGCGAGGCAGUCUGUCCAGAGUGCUCCAAUCUCUCGAUCGGGUGGCAACAGGACAUAGGGGUUGCGCUCGUUGCGGGACUGAACCCAACAUCUCACGACACGAGCUGACGACAACCAUGCACCACCUGUCACCAUUGCCCCGAAGGGAAGCUCUAUCUCUAGAGCGGUCAAUGGGAUGUCAAGCCUUGGUAAGGUUCUUCGCGUUGCUUCGAAUUAAACCACAUGCUCCGCUGCUUGUGCGGGUCCCCGUCAAUUCCUUUGAGUUUUAGCCUUGCGGCCGUACUCCCCAGGCGGGGCACUUAAUGCGUUAGCGUCGGCACGGGAGGAGUCGACACCUCCCACACCUAGUGCCCAUCGUUUACGGCGUGGACUAC
rnacentral:misc_RNA from 1 species